CCUACGGGGGGCAGCAGUGGGGAAUAUUGGACAAUGGGCGAAAGCCUGAUCCAGCCAUGCCGCGUGUGUGAAGAAGGCCUUCGGGUUGUAAAGCACUUUCAGUGGGGAAGAAAGCCUUGGGGCUAAUACCCUCGAGGAAGGACAUCACCCACAGAAGAAGCACCGGCUAACUCCGUGCCAGCAGCCGCGGUAAUACGGAGGGUGCGAGCGUUAAUCGGAAUUACUGGGCGUAAAGCGCGCGUAGGCGGUCUGAUAAGCCGGUUGUGAAAGCCCCGGGCUCAACCUGGGAACGGCAUCCGGAACUGUCAGGCUAGAGUGCAGGAGAGGAAGGUAGAAUUCCCGGUGUAGCGGUGAAAUGCGUAGAGAUCGGGAGGAAUACCAGUGGCGAAGGCGGCCUUCUGGACUGACACUGACGCUGAGGUGCGAAAGCGUGGGUAGCAAACAGGAUUAGAUACCCUGUAGUC
rnacentral:rRNA from 1 species